UGUGACUCAGUGGUAGAGUUCUUGCCUUUCAUGCACAAGGCUCUGGGUUCAAAUCCCAGAACCACAA
rnacentral:tRNA from 1 species